rnacentral:rRNA from 1 species
GACGAACGCUGGCGGCGUGCUUAACACAUGCAAGUCGAACGGUAAGGCCCUUCGGGUACACGAGUGGCGAACGGGUGAGUAACACGUGGUGAUCUGCCCUGCACUUCGGGAUAAGCCUGGGAAACUGGGUCUAAUACCGGAUAGGACCAUGGACUUCACGGUUUGUGGUGGAAAGCUUUUGCGGUGUGGGAUGGGCCCGCGGCCUAUCAGCUUGUUGGUGGGGUAAUGGCUACCAAGGCGACGACGGGUAGCCGGCCUGAGAGGGUGUCCGGCCACACUGGGACUGAGAUACGGCCCAGACUCCUACGGGAGGCAGCAGUGGGAAUAUUGCACAAUGGGCGCAAGCCUGAUGCAGCGACGCCGCGUGAGGGAUGACGGCCUUC